rnacentral:lncRNA from 10 species
CUGAUGAGUGAAUCUUGAUACUAUUAUUAAUCCAAAGUCCGUUGUUCACGUUAGGGUUCACUUUUUGUGUUAUACAGUCCUGUGGGUUUUGACAAAUGUGUAAUGUCAUGUAUCUGCCAUUAUGCAGAAUAAUUUCACUGCCUUCAAAAGCUCAUGUGCUCUACCUAUUCAUACCUUCCUCCCUCUCAUCUCACUCCCAACCCUGGCAACCACUGAUCUUUUUAUUGUCUCUGUAGUUUCAUCUUUCCCAGAAUGUUAUACAGUUGGAAUCAUAGUAUGUAGCUUUUUUCAGACUGGCUUCUUUCUCUUAUCAAUAUGCAUCAGAAUUCUUCCAGGUCUUUUCAUGAUGAGUUCACUUUGUUUACUUUUAAAAACUUGCCAAGUUCACUAGUGAGAGGGGGAGAAAGAGUAGAGCAAGGAGUUCUGUCUGUGACUGAACAAUCAAUUGAGAUAAUUCACUACUUGCUGGAGAGCGAGAGUUCACUUUUGAAGAGGUGAUUCGUCUUUAGUCAGCAUGUCACUCAUUGUGUGCAAUGUCAAACACUGGUAAAAUAGGGGCAG